CACUGCUGUUGUCCUUCAGGUAACAGUUAAUGAGCAGCUUUGUAUUGCAGGAAUGAGGUGAGAGCAUGUCACGCCAUGGACGAGCUACAUUUUCUGUUUUGCUUUCCAGGUACCUGUGUGGUCUCAGAAAUUAUGUUGACCUUGGAUGUCAUGAAGUGAAUGAAUUGCUUUUGGUGGAAUUUACAGUGUCUUCUGAUACUGUACAACUGUACUGUGCCAUAAUUAUGUGUCUUAAAGGAUUUGGAUGUUGUGGUUCUGCUGAUACUCACACCUCUUAUUUCACU